CACGAGCUCUAGAGCAACAUUAGCAUUCUAGUCUCAGCAAUCAGAGUUAGCUAUGAGUCCUCAUCCUUCAAGGACAUUACCAUUACUUUAUUAUCUCAUUAAUUAAUUUAUUUCAGUAGUUGAAGUUAGUUGGGGACAUGUCCCAUCUACUCCUUAUUCAGACAAUGUAGAGGCUUUUGGACUAGCAUGUACAGACAGUUAUUUAAGCUAUUUUGGGUAUUUCAUACCUCC
rnacentral:lncRNA from 1 species